UACGUAGGGUGCAAGCGUUGUCCGGAAUCAUUGGGCGUAAAGAGCGUGUAGGCGGCUCGAUUAGUCCGCUGUAAAGUCCAGGGCUCAACCCUGGGAUGCCGGUGGAAACUGUCGGGCUAGAGUCCGGGAGAGGCGAGUGGAAUUCCUGGUGUAGCGGUGAAAUGCGCAGAUAUCAGGAGGAACACCAAUGGCGAAGGCAGCUCGCUGGAACGGUACUGACGCUGAGACGCGAAAGCGUGGGGAGCAAACAGG
rnacentral:rRNA from 1 species